rnacentral:rRNA from 1 species
AUACCCUAUUAUUUUUAUUGUAAAAUUUGAAACUUGAGUAUUAGUAGUUAAGGUCUUGAAACUUAAAGAAUUUGGCGGUAUUAUAGUCUAUUUAGAGGAAUCUGUUAUGUAAUCGAUAGUCCACGUUGAACCUUACUUAUAUUAUUUCUUGUAUACCGCUGUUUGAGAAUAUACUUUUAGGUUAUUUUCUUAAUAUAUUAUUAAUUAAAAUUUCAGGUCAAGGUGCAGUAAUAUAUAAGUUGAAUAAUGGAUUACAAUAAAUUUUAUUUAUAUGGAUUGUUAUUGAAAUAUAAUUUGAAGGUGGAUUUAAUUGUAAUUUUUUAAAGAUUAUUAAAAUGAUUAAUAGCUCUAUAAUAUGUACACAUCGCCCGUCGCUCUCGUUAUUAAGAUGAGAUAAGUC